CACACGUGGUGCAGAGCACGCAACCCACAGCGGAAGAACCCUGAGCAGCAAACUGCAGCCCAGCGGGUGGGGAGCCGGUGAGUGGAACUGAAGCCCCACACAGCCCCGGAGCCAGCUCCCGGCACCGAUCCCUCACUGGGGCAGGAUGGAGGAUUUGGAUGCGCUGCUGGAGGAGCUGGAGCAAAGCUCCCGCGGGGCCCACGGGCUGCAGGCACCGGCACACCUGGAGGUGCAGGUGCCUCGGGCUCAGCCUCCUGCAGAGGCUGUGGACACAGUGUACAGCAGCCCUGUCCCAGUCCCGCAGCCGCUGUUCCCAUCUUCCCCACCGACGGAAGCAGCUCAGCAGCUGGACAAGCUCCUGGCUGACCUGGGCCACAUGCAGAGCAAGGUGAGCCCCAACCCUGGGGUAAAGGGGUUGGUUACUGACCUUUAAA
rnacentral:lncRNA from 14 species